ensembl:lncRNA
CAAUGAAGUAGGCUUUUGUAUAUAAUAAUUAGACCAGUUUUUAUUAAACAUAAAAAAUGCAUAAGUGGCUCAUUAAAAAACAGGCACCUUGUCCUUCACCCUCCAUGCAAGCUGCCUCUGUAGAGCUCAGCGCACCUGCUAGCAACAGUGAACAUGCUGCCUCUGACAAGCCCAGUACCUCUGCUUCCAACACCGAGCAGAGCCUUGUUGCAUCCACAACGGUAAAUCCUCCAAAUGCAUGUCCUCCACAAAAUCCACAUGCACCAUCCUCCAGCUCUGCAUCUGUGUCGGAGCCAGCAACAUUCUGCCCUCCCCAAAACAGACAAUCCUCCUCCAGCUCUAGUGUGUCUGUUCCCUCUGACUUAGAUUUGUAUAGCCCAUCCCAGCCCAAGCUAAGCAGCUAUCCUAAGCGCCCAUUUGGACAGGCUCUUAGGUGUUUCAAUGCAGACUGGUAUCAGUCUCGACCAUGGCUCGAAUAUUCUGUCUUACGUGAUGCCAGCUUUUGCUUUCCCUGCCGUAAAUUUUGUGUCUCCAAUUCGGAAAGAGAUGACACAUUCACAAAAGUAGGCUACACCAAUUGGAAAAAAGCGCUGAUAAAAAACAGUGGUUUUCAGAAAUAUGCCUCCGGCACUGUGCACGUCAGAGCCAUGUCUGCGUGGCAGGAAUACCAGUGCCGGACAGAGACCGAUAAUACCAUUGUUCACCAGCUUGGUCAAACUCACAUCGAAAAAAACAGAUAUUAUGUAAAAAGUAUUGGGGAAGUUAUUCAGUUUCUGGCGGUUAAUGAACUUGCUCUACGUGGGCACCAUCACGGGGGUGGGGAUGAGGAAGGUCUUUUAAUUCAGCUAUUUGAUUACACCCUCCAAAAAGAUCCUAAACUCCCAGAGAAAUACACGUCCAAUUUGAUUCAGAACGAGAUAACUCAAACUCAUGCCAAAAUGGUACUAAAAGACAUCCAGACCAAAUAUAAGGAGGCCGACUCUGCUGGCCUUUGUAUUAAAAGUGAUGGUACCAGGGAUCGGUGUAACAUUGAGAAUUUGUCAGUCAUCAUUAGAUUUGGCCGCAACUCGAUCCCAGAAGAACACCUAAUUGGCCUCAUUGAAUUGAAUCAGCUUGAUGCUGAGUGUCUGACCUGGGUUACAAUGGUGACAAUUUAGUGUCUCAGUGUUAUGAUGGUGCUUCUGUCAUGUCAGGACCGAGGGGCGGUGUGCAGGCUUUGCUGCAAAACAACGUGGGUAAAGAUAUCCCAUAUGUGCACUGCUACAACCACCAACUCCAUUUGGCAGUAGUACAUGCAAUGCAUGCAGAACCAGUGGCAAAGAAGUUCUUUGACUGGUCCAGUUAACUGAACACAUUUUGUCACAGACGUUAUGUUGCAAAUAGAUACAGUAAACCCACACUGGAAAGACUACUAGAAAUUCGCUGGACCAGUCAUUAUGAUGUCACCAAGACUAUUGUUCACAAUAAGGUAGAGGUCUGCAUUCCCGCGACCGUUAUGCACGCGCUGCAAGCAUGGACCAGUUUUUUCUGCAUCAUGCAUUGUAUUUGCAGGGUCUGUGCGCGCAGCAUGUGCA